rnacentral:rRNA from 1 species
GACAGAGGUGCCGAGCGUAGGCGGAAUCACUGGGCUUAAAGCGUGUGUAGGCGGACUUCUAAGUACCUUGUGAAAUCCCACGGCUCAACCGUGGAACUGCUUGGUAUACUGGUCGUCUUGAGCCAUCUAGGGGCUGUCGGAACAAAUGGUGGAGCGGGUGAAAUGCGUAGAUAUCAUUUGGAACGCCAAAGGUGAAAACAGACAGCUGGGGAUGUGCUGACGCUGAGACACGAAAGCCAGGGGAGCGAACGGG